CUGGCAGCCGCCUCCGCCCCGGGGGAGGGACCAGCGCGAGGCGGCGGUGCCAGGCGGGGGCUUUCCGCGGGAGGCGUGAGAGGAACUAGCGCUGCUGCCCCAGCUGCCCCCAGCCCCUCGGGGGAGGGCGAGACGGGCCCCGUGCGCCACCCCUCAGUGUGAGCUUUGCGCCAGGCGCAUUCCCGGCUCCCGCCAAGGGCGGGGAUUUUACAACGUGCAGACGGGGGUCUGGGCCAUAAAACGUGGGAGGAAGCACGGGGUGAAACCCAGGCCCUGUUGACAUCAGACCAGAUGUCCCGAUUUUGACGGGACGGUUCCGAUUUUAGGGGACUUGUCCCGCGUCCCGAUAUCCGGGGGACCGCGGCAAGCCGGCGCCAGCGGCGCCACUCACUUGUUCUUCGGGGGCCCCUGGGGCAGCGCUGCACAGCUGAGCUCCCAGCCGGCAGGACCCCACCGAUUGCAGCAGCAGCCCGAGGCACACAGGGAGUGAGGCAGGGAGGCUGCAUGCUGGGGGGGCGGUGCUUGUAGACGCCAGCAGUGGGCAGAGAGACUGAGUCCCCCCCGCCCCCCUUGACGUGACCAGACCCGACCCGCCAGCGACGCGACCCCCCUAGGCUAGGAGCCAGAGCGGGACCUGUCUGCUGGAUGCUUCCUGGGAGCCGCUCCAGCCUGUGAGCCACCUGCACGUAUCUCUAAUGGACGGGAUGACCGCGGCUGGAAAAAUUAUUUCUUUGUUGGCUCAAAUGUGACCUACUCAUGUGACCAUGGUUGGUCAGUUGUUGGAGUAUCCUCCAUUCGAUGUAUAGCUGGUGAGGGGGGAACUCUGCACUGAGAUGCACCUGCCCGUGAGUGCAAAGGAGAAGUAAAUAAUGUCUCCCCUGUGCAACAUGGUUCGCGAGAGUGUAAAGUUUCUCCACUGUGGUGUGUCUCUGACAGAACUGAGACCCCUGCUGGAAGCACAGAAACUGUAUCUGGAGAUUCAGAAACUUAAGCGGGACCUAGAAAAAUACCAGGAAUAGCUGAAAUCUGUGACCCAUUACUGUGACAAACUGUCUCCUUUGGAUGCAGUUUGUAUAAUUACUUUGUACAUAUGAUGAUUGUUACUAUUUGCAGAGAACUUGCUAGUACAUCUAGUGAUUGAGGAAGAGAUUAGCCAGUACCUCAGGAAUCGGAUUUUUUUCAUGCUGUGUGCCAGUGGUUGGGUUUUUUUUCUUUCCUUUCAAUCUGACAAAUGUAAGUCCCUACUUGAUAAACUAG